AUCGGUGCAAUACGUGCGUCGUAAUUGCGAUCGUGCUCGAAACUCGGUGCAGUCAAUAUGCAGUCAUAAAGCAUCAAACUUUAUCGAGCGCACACAACUGCUGCUCGAAAAGAGCCAGGGCGGUUUAUCUGAGCCAGGCCGAGCUUCACAUCAUCAUCAUGUGUGCGCGCCUCCAGUUUUAUUACGCAACACCAUAAAAGAUUCCAGUUAAUAAAAAGGGUUCCGCUUUUACGAACGAGAGCGCGGUGAUUUUCACGUGCUUGCUCUCUUGGCCGUUCCCUCCCGCUCUAAUCACAGAAGCUGCUGCAGCAAAGUCCAGGCAAGUUUUGCAGUUUUGCUGAAAGGUGUUAAGGGCUCUCGCCGCGAGUAUCAGUGCGGCCGUUUUCAAUAAAAACCCAUAUUGGCCGCUGGUGGAGUUGGAGUGAACGCGGCCGGGCGGCGCAGCGGAAUCCUAUUUUCCACUCGGCCGCUCCAUAAAUAUUCCAUGAUAUUUGCGAUGUCCGUGAUGGCUUGAAUAAUUCAGGCUGAGCCUUCUUUUCAAGUGUCACCCUACCGCGCACAUUUUCGCAAAAUGGAAUUAUUCCGGCCAACCUUUAUUGGGUCUUUAAUGGGCAGCUGCGGAAGACUCCUAUAAAUGUGUGGGUCAAAUUUUUCAUUAAGAAGUUGUAAGAAGUAGAAGUAUUUUUGUUGUAAUAUUCCUGUCCUGUAUUUUACCAUUAAAGUGGAGGAUUAUAAAACAAAAAAUUGAUUUUAAAAUUAAUAUUUGGCAGCAAAAAUUAACGUUAUGUCUAAGAAAAUAUCUCAAGUUGAAGUUCGAUCAAAAGUGAUAAAAAAAACCUUUUGUAAUUUUUUAUAUUAUGUCAGAAUAGAUCUAUACG